CUGUAGCUCUCUCUCUCUUUAGUGCAAAGAAGAUCAUUUUUGUUGCUAUUUAGGCAUAGUGUCUAUCUAUCGCUGAUUGGAAUCGAAAAGUUUGAAAACCCCUGAUUAGAUUUAGAGCGCUGUAGUUUCCCACCCCGAACUGCAGGUGGCAGCAAACACCUCUUAAGUUUCCGCCUCAAAUCAGUGAAGAGCGCCGUUAAUGAAGUAGGUUGAGACGAGUUCAUCUUGGCGUACUUCAUUGACAUACUAUUAACAAUUCUGCCAACAAUUAAAUUAGUAAUACCGUGAAACAUUUUGUUAAGGGCCUGAUACUUCACGUGACUUUGCUUCGGUUGAUCUAACGAAGCGUCUUUGGGGGUUUUUAUCAGAAGUAUCAUCUCCAGUAUGGCAGAUGGAGAGGGGUUUGUGGUCCGAGUCAGAGGACUGCCCUGGUCCUGCUCUGUAGAUGAAGUUCAGAGGUUUUUCUCAGAGUGCAAAAUUGCAAACAAUGGGACAAGCAUACAUUUUACAUACACGAGGGAAGGGCGACCGAGUGGAGAGGCGUUUGUUGAGUUUGAAUCAGAGGAGGAUCUUAAAAUUGCUGUGAAGAAAGAUCGUGAAACCAUGGGUCACCGCUACGUGGAAGUAUUCAAAUCCAAUAGUGUUGAGAUGGACUGGGUUCUGAAGCACACUGGACCGAACUGCCCAGACACAGGAGGAGAUGGUCUGGUUAGGCUUCGUGGUCUGCCCUUUGGAUGCAGCAAGGAGGAGAUUGUCCAGUUUUUUGCAGGGUUGGAAAUCGUGCCAAAUGGGAUAACAUUGCCGGUGGACUUCCAGGGGAGGAGUACGGGGGAGGCCUUCGUGCAGUUUGCUUCACAGGAUAUAGCCGAAAAGGCUCUAAAGAAACACAAGGAAAGAAUAGGGCACAGGUACAUAGAGAUCUUCAAGAGCAGCCGCGCGGAGGUGCGCACACACUAUGAACCGCAGCGUAAGGUCAUGGGGAUGCAGAGACCAGGCCCCUACGACAGGCCGGGAGGAGGCCGGGGGUACAACAGCAUGGGCAGAGGAGUCUCCUUUGAGAGAGUGAGGCGUGGAGGAUAUGGUGGAGAUGGGCGCUAUGCAGAUGGUGGCAGCUCCUUUCAGAGCACAACGGGUCACUGUGUGCACAUGAGAGGCCUUCCAUACAGAGCCACUGAGACUGACAUAUACAAUUUCUUCUCUCCACUGAACCCGGUGCGUGUUCACCUGGAGAUCGGCCCUGAUGGGAGAGUAACAGGUGAGGCGGAUGUUGAGUUUGCCACGCAUGAAGACGCUGUGGCUGCCAUGUCGAAGGACAAAGCCAAUAUGCAGCACCGUUACGUGGAGCUGUUCCUAAACUCAACAGCAGGGGGCGGAAGUGGAGGAUAUGGUGGUCAAAUGAUAGGCGGCAACCAGUCGUCUUAUGGACAUAGCAGCCAACAGAUGGGCUCUGGCUAUAGCAGUGGUUAUGGUAACCAGAGUGGCAUGGGGGGCUACAGUGACUACAGUGAGUGUCAGCUCUUCCGUAGCUCUGCUAGCCGGUGCCAUGCCAAAUCCUAUCGUCCUUGGACCCCUAGGGGUAGCAGUUUGUAAUGCCCGAUUAAAAAGCCUUUCGUGUUUUCCUGUUGUAGCUGAUCAGCAACCUUGUAAAAUCGCCUUACGCCAACACUUUUGAUGUGCUGGUCAAAGCGGCGCGUGACACUUGUCGAGGUAAUCACGGCGGAAUAGGCAGCAGUUACUAUGGCGGAGGCAGCCGUGGAUCGAUGGGGAUGAAUGGUCUCAACAGCGGCAUGGGGGGAGGCUGGGGCAUAUAGCCUCAGUAUUAAGGGCUGUUGGUUUAUAACCUACGACAAACCUUAAGUUGAACAGUGACCUCUUUCGUUCUUUUUAUUCUUUGUUCCUUUCUACUACAAUGUUGGUUGUGUUAGGAGCUGUUCUUUGUAUUGUUCACAAGCAAACUUCUUUUGCCCUAUUAACAUGAUUGUGGGGAAACUACCCUUCUUUUUGUAAAAAGAUUAAGUAUUUUACGUUAAAGAGAAACACUUGCUGAAAUAUGAUACAGCCCAUUUACCAAAAUGGUGAGGUGCCUGUAAAUCUCUUUUUAUAUUUAAGAGGUGAUCUUUUUUUCCCCCUCAUAGCAGGCCACUAUGUGCCAGUUUAUCAAACACUGAAUGGAUAGUUCACCCAAAAAUGAAAAUGUCGUCAUUUACGCACUCUCUUGUUGUUCCAAACCCGUAUGACAGACUUUGUCAUGGAACGCACAAGAUGUUAGGCAGAAUGUUAGCAACUCCGAAUACAAAGAAAGUGAAUGGUGACAGACUGAACAUUCUCCCUAAUGUCUUUUGUGUCCCUUGGAAGAAGUCACGUUUGGGUCAAUGACAGAAUUUGCAUUUUUGGGUGAACUACACUUUAAAGUACAUAUUGACGUCUAUGUACAUGGAGGUUUCACUGACUCUGUGACUGUAGCUCAUCAUAUCUCAGUUUUCUCACCAGCAAAGAUGUCUUUACAUGUACUAAAUGCUUAAUUCAGACCAAUAUUUUGAAGAGUGUUAUGUUUAGGAAAGACUUUUUGUAUUAUUCUAAAGCAUGGCUUCAAGGGGGGUUUAAUUUACAUGCAUGUUACUGUUGUUUUGCAGCAUUUGCUUUUUUCCACGUGAUGUACCAAACCUGUGAUUUCAGUGUAAUGCACAAAGUGGACAUUUGUCUGAUUCCUCAUUUCUUCAUACAUGGAUUAAUACUUCUGAGGCAGUGUUUAUUAAACAGUACACAAUUCUAUAAAAUCUCCAGAAUUUUCAAACUUCA